ensembl:lncRNA
AGAUAAGGCUCCUCGACAGUGGAGGAUAUGCAUGAACGAGCACACUGGCACCCCCAAAAAAUAAAAAUAAAAAAUAAAAAUAAAUAAUAAUGAAACAAAGAAAGAAAAAAUAAUUUUUUUCUACUUAGGGUCUAGGUGGAACCUUAAAAUGUUUGCUUUUUCUACUAAUUAGGCGAUGCUUUCACUAGGGUCUGGGUCAUUCCUCACCGUGCACGUAGAGCCUGCUCGGAAAGGCGCCCUGUUUCCGAGGGGGGCGUUCUCUCCCCCGAAAGGCCCCCACCCAGAGACGAGUGUAGCCCUCGGUCUACCAGGCCGCAGCCCUCUGACGGGGGUGGCCCCGCGAAAAGGUCUUGAUUGAGGAAAACUCAGGCCCAGGGCGUAAACAUCCAAGCGGCGCUGAAUGCCAAACACCUUUGCGAGGAGGAAAAGAAAUAAUAAGGCAAAGAACGUGGUCACGGAUUGCUCCUCGGUCGCGGGGCGCCAGCGCCGAGAAAGGCUCCGAGGGGCCCCCCCGCCACGUGAGCCCAGACACACGUGUAGGCCCUCGGCUCCGCGAGCGGAGGGGCUUUUGUUUGUUGCAGGGUCCAAAGCUUUUUGCGAAUGUCGUGGAAAUGGAACCGCGUGGGCGCCCACGAUGUUUCCCGCGGGUGCCCCUGCAGAGUCACCCGCCAGCGCCUGGGGGCUCACGGGCCUUGAGGACAAAGCUGGCUUCUGCCCGCGGGUGAGCCAGCUGCCCUUUGCAGGCCGCGAGCGCCCAGCCGCCUCAAGACUCUCCUCUCCAGGAAGAUGCAGCAGCGUCUCAGCCUCCCCCCCGCCCCCCGAAUCACCCUCUGCAUGUGCGUGGAGCAUAGCAGACCUGCACGCGGGGACUUCGUUGGUGCUGCUCGGUGUCCCCCUCUCGCCCUCUCGUCCAGGACACUGGGAGCCUUGUCUUACAUUAGUAAUUGGCUCAUCUCAGGUCUUCAGAUUUUCGCUCCUCUGGCUUUAUCUCUAAUUUUUCAAGUUGACAGUGUUUAAUUUUCUCCACAGUUACAAGCUCGGCAGGUAGGGCAUGAGGGAUGGACGGCGAGCUGGUGGCCAGAGGUCCCGGGGACACGCAGGGCACGCGAGACCACUGCACCAGCUCAGCCGGGCACCUGCAGGAGGUGUGGACGUGGUGCCUGUCUCCUCCCCACAGCCCCGCACAGACCCCACUGCCCCAUCCACCCCUAUAGUUCCUACCUAUAGGAACCCUAUAGCUCCCCACAGCCCAUUGAGCCCAUGGGUCCCCGUGGACCCCCACUGGUCCCCACUGUCCCCACUAUUUCCGUGGCCUUCAUGUUCCUCCAGCACCACCAGGGGCCCCCACGCUCCCCCUAAUGGGCCACGUACGCCCCCACCCUUCCUUCCCUACAGCACGUGGGUGACCCAGGACAAGUCUCUGUCCUUUCGGGGCAGGGGGACCCACUCCCACCCAGCGCUCUUUGCAUUUCAGACCCCCUCUCCCCCGACGUGCCCACUCGUUCCGUGCGUGAUGCUAAGUUGCGAAAAACGUGUGAGGACAUUAACCCGAGGUGUUAUUUAUAAAUACGUUAUAAUUUAUUAAAUUAUAUGGCACUCGACAACAACUCAGAUAAAGAAGCACAUUGGAGUGUUACUCCAGCACAUGCACUAUUUUAAUAAUCCUUUUAUCUUAAAAUAUUGCCUCCUAUCACGCUGUCAGGGAGCAGCAGGAGAAUCUGUUAAGCGUAGAGAGGAGGGGCAUGUCUCCAACACGCUCUUCGGUGAAUUAUUAAAGGAGAGAGAGGCGCCAACUAAUCAUUUGAUAAACGCAAGUAAAUUAUGUAUAAUGGGCACCUUCGUGCAAAGAGCUGGAAAGUCGAGGAAAAUCCUGGGGCCCAGAGCAGAACUUGCUCCAAGCGGCUCCUUCCGCCGCCUUCUGCCUCCGAGAGCGGAGUCUCGCAGACUUGGACUUCAGACGCUCAUCUGCCACCAUUUUUGGCCACACCCGGGAA